UGCCCAGCAACUCCUAUCCCUACCUCCUCGUGGUACUGGCCGGGGUACGAGUAACCUUGGGGAAGAUCGGGUAAUCAACCCCCGGUGGGAACUUUGGUCGUAUGCUGACAGGGAAGG
rfam:Aedes aegypti strain Liverpool supercont1.219 genomic scaffold, whole genome shotgun sequence.